AAAUCUUCUUAAAAUUUUAGACACUAAAUGCUUGUGAUCUUGGCUUGGUCCUAAGUGAUCUUGUUUGGUUUAGUCAUUGUAGUCAGAUUUGAAUAAUCCUGUCAAGGCCCAGAUAUAGGGCUUCUGGGACAGGAUUUCAUUUGAAGCCAGAGAAUCCACAUCCUCCAAACCAUGAUGGGCUGUAGAAGCCACAUCUACAGCCUCCAUAGCCAAAGCCCAGUCUGCGGAAGCUGCUGCAUCCACAGCCAUAGCCAUGGCCCAGGCCACCAAAGCCACCAAAUCCGUAGCCCAGGCCUCCGUAGUAGUUGCUGUAGUGGCUCGUGGUGUCAGGGGUGGCUGUGAAGAUACUGACCUGUGUGAGAAUAGAAUAGUUUCAAAUGAAAUGCAGUUAUACCGGUCAAAGGUCCUCUAAUGGAGUUACCAGACUUUAUCUACUAUGUCCUCUCCUGUGAAAGCACAACACAGCACUGUGAAGGUGACAAGAGCUCACUAAGUUUCUUUAUCUUCAUGUUGUAUAAACAAAUCCAAAUGUUUCCAAUAAAAUCCAUGAUCUUGAGAAUUGAGUUGUAACAUUAUUCACUCUUGAUUUGCCUUGAAGUACAACUAAAUUAGAAAUUGAGAAGUAGAAGAUUAUAUACAAUAAAAUAAAAUUGUAACAAUAAAAAUGUAAAAGAAAACACAAUAAAAGGUAGUUAAUCUAACACAGGGAACUAAUCCCCAUAAAUUCAGCUAUAAAACUGUAGCUGUUCAGAAAUAUGACAAGACUUUCCAUAUGGUAUUCGAAUUUUUAAGUAUUCAAUCAAAGAGAGUAUGAUGGAGUAGAUCACCAGGAUUCAGGUGACCUGCUUUCUGAUCUUGGUUUUGACACUUGUGUUUAUGAUUCUAGGCAAGUCACUUAACUGUUUGGAGGGUUUUCUUUACCUGUACUGUAGAGGGCAG
rnacentral:lncRNA from 1 species